UGGGGAAUAUUGCGCAAUGGCCGCAAGGCUGACGCAGCGACGCCGCGUGGGGGAUGAAGCAUUUCGGUGUGUAAACCCCUGUUGCCCGGGACGAACCUCCCCUUUCGAGGGGACUGACGGUACCGGGUGAGGAAGCACCGGCUAACUCCGUGCCAGCAGCCGCGGUAAUACGGAGGGUGCGAGCGUUGUCCGGAAUCACUGGGCGUAAAGGGCGCGUAGGCGGUGACUUAAGCGUGUGGUGAAAGCCCGGGGCUCAACCCCGGGUCGGCCGUGCGAACUGGGUCACUCGAGCACUGUAGAGGCAGGUGGAAUUCCGGGUGUAGCGGUGGAAUGCGUAGAGAUGCGGAAGAACACCAGUGGCGAAGGCGGCCUGCUGGGCAGUAGCUGACGCUGAGGCGCGACAGCGUGGGGAGC
rnacentral:rRNA from 1 species